UGCAAGUCGAACGCACAGCGAAAGGUGCUUGCACCUUUCAAGUGAGUGGCGAACGGGUGAGUAACACGUGGACAACCUGCCUCAAGGCUGGGGAUAACAUUUGGAAACAGAUGCUAAUACCGAAUGAAACUUAGUGUCGCAUGACACGAAGUUAAAAGGCGCUUUGGCGUCACCUAGAGAUGGAUCCGCGGUGCAUUAGUUAGUUGGUGGGGUAAAGGCCUACCAAGACAAUGAUGCAUAGCCGAGUUGAGAGACUGAUCGGCCACAUUGGGACUGAGACACGGCCCAAACUCCUACGGGAGGCUGCAGUAGGGAAUCUUCCACAAUGGGCGAAAGCCUGAUGGAGCAACGCCGCGUGUGUGAUGAAGGCUUUCGGGUCGUAAAGCACUGUUGUAUGGGAAGAACAGCUAGAAUAGGGAAUGAUUUUAGUUUGACGGUACCAUACCAGAAAGGGACGGCUAAAUACGUGCCAGCAGCCGCGGUAAUACGUAUGUCCCGAGCGUUAUCCGGAUUUAUUGGGCGUAAAGCGAGCGCAGACGGUUGAUUAAGUCUGAUGUGAAAGCCCGGAGCUCAACUCCGGAAUGGCAUUGGAAACUGGUUAACUUGAGUGCAGUAGAGGUAAGUGGAACUCCAUGUGUAGCGGUGGAAUGCGUAGAUAUAUGGAAGAACACCAGUGGCGAAGGCGGCUUACUGGACUGUAACUGACGUUGAGGCUCGAAAGUGUGGGUAGCAAACAGGAUUAGAUACCCUGGUAGUCCACACCGUAAACGAUGAACACUAGGUGUUAGGAGGUUUCCGCCUCUUAGUGCCGAAGCUAACGCAUUAAGUGUUCCGCCUGGGGAGUACGACCGCAAGGUUUGAAACUCAAAGGAAUUGACGGGGACCCGCACAAGCGG
rnacentral:rRNA from 1 species